CACCUCAGCACCAAGGACACAAACCCAAACUAACGCUUUGUAACUGUUGGGAACGAGUGGGAAAUGAAACUUGACGAUGUUUGACGAAACAAAUUUUGAAAGAUCUGUCAAAGUAGGCCCUGUCAAAUCAGCUGAUUUUGCUGCUGUCAAAAAGUUUUCAAGUCCAUCUUUUCAAUAUUUUUUUUUUAAUCAAAUAAAAAUAGAAUUAUAAGAUGUGCAAAUAUGUAAUUUAAAAACAUAGAUAAUCAUCUCCAAACCAUUGAAGUGGUCGCUUUAGCCGAAUUUCCAUUCAGAACAUCGGCACCACCACCUUCGAGAGCAGAUUCCGUUUCGUUUGGGUGAGUGAUCUCCUUGGUGAUCUCAAAAUGCCGCAAGAAAUGCCAACACCGUCGGAGAAGCACCAGAAACGGAAGCGAAGCGCUCAAGCUGAGUUACUUUUGAGUUUCGGAAGCAGCUUUUGGGUCGAACAAAAGUCGAUUCAAGAUUGACAGCAACGGUAAUAAUACAUUGGAUUACGCUCAGUGACGAAAUUCUGAGGCUGAAGGAGGAAGAAGUGUUUGCGAAGAUGAAAAGAAAGAGGGACAAGAAAAAGAAGAACCGGAAACGUCACACCGGAAAUGUUUCAACGAUGACACUCGACGCUGGAGUGAAAGGACGUAAUAAAGAAGGCAAAAUUGUAAUAUGUUGUAAAAAUAUACAUUAAGAAAGAUAAGUAUGAAAUAAACUUAAAAAUAAAACCAAUAAAAUUGUAA